GGAAGGGGAUAGGGCCCGGUGGCCCUGCGGGUCUUCAAAACCCGAUAGUCGCCUUGACAGGGGGCUGGAGGGUUCGACUCCCUCCCCCUUCC
rnacentral:tRNA from 1 species